GUGCUCGCUUCAGCAGCACAUAUACUAAAAAAUUGGAACGAUACAGAGAAGAUUAGCAUGGGCCCUGCCCAAGGAUGACACGCAAAUUCACGAAGCAUUCCGUAUUUUU